AAUGACAAAUAGAAUAUGGGAGUAGAGGGGAAAAUAACAUCAGUAAAUAUGAACAAACCACUUAUUUCAUGUGGUUGUAAAAACAAAAUGGUUGCUUUUCUCUAUGAUGUGAUAUUUUAUACCAUAGGUGUCAUAUUUAAUGGGGUACAGGAACCUGAAGCUGUGUGUGAUCACCCCAAGCUUUCAAGAAACAUGUCGAGUGACCCUAGCAGUGAUGGACCUCCUUCACCCUCUCCCAUUAGUGGACUGAAUGCCCCAAAAUUUGGAACUUUGAUACCCAACAGAAUAUUUGUGGGUGGAAUUUCUCCAAGUACAACAGAAGCAGAACUUCAUGCACUAUUCUCAAACUACGGAAAUGUCAAGGCCACAAAAAUCAUAGCAGAUCGAGCAGGUGUAUCAAAAGGGUAUGGAUUUGUAACAUUUGAGACUGAAGAAGAAGCCAAGAGAAUGCAGGCAGAGUCAGAAAACUUAGUGCUGAAAGACAGGAAAUUAAACAUAGCUCCAGCAAUAAAAAAACAGCCUUUUGGUAGAAUGUAUAAUGAAUCAACACAACUGGUACCAAAUGGGACCAUCAUUUAUCAGAAUGGUGUACCUUGUACUUAUCAUAACGGAAUGGCUUUUUACUCCGCUCCUGAUUCUUUAUAUCAAGUGCCUCAGCCACAAACAACUUACCCUGUGGUUUACGGACAACCAAUGUAUGUACCUCAGCAACAGUUCCAGUACCAACCAGCAAUGUCUGCACAAUGGACAGCCAAUAACCAGUGGCAUUGGGCUGCAGCUGCCAGCAGUACAGGCUUUCCAUCUGUGACUAAUGCUGAGGGUGGGGUUCUCUUCCCUUCUGUGGUACCUCCUACAUCCUACCUUCUCUCAGACAGAAAUUUCUGACAUUUAUUUUGAUGAGACACAAAGAGGGUAAUGGACCUGUGCUGUUGUCCAUUACCUCCUCUGUGUCUGGCCAGCACCUAUAUUCUACCGUGUCAUCUCCACCUACAAUUACCACACAAACCUCAUCAGAGUUGUAUCAUUAUGAACUCAUACCUCAUCAGAUACACUUGCCAGCUAACCCCUCUGGAGUGCAACUGGCCACAUAUCCUACCCAUACAACAACAGAGAACUUUGACUACACUGUGCUUGAAAAUGAA
rnacentral:misc_RNA from 1 species